rnacentral:tRNA from 1 species
GGCAGGGUAAAGCAGGAUAUAAGUCUGGCAGCACACCGGGGCCGUAAUCCCGGGUGCGGCGGGUUCGAAUCCCGCCCCUGCCA